rnacentral:rRNA from 1 species
AGUGAUGAAGGCCAUCGGGUCGUAAAACUCUGUCCUCAAGGAAGAUAAUGACGGUACUUGAGGAGGAAGCCCCGGCUAACUAUGUGCCAGCAGUCUCGUUAAUACUCUGGGGGCUAGCGUUAUCCGGCUUUUCUGGGUGUAAAGGGUGCGUAGGCGGUCUUUAAAUUCUGGAGUGCAAGGCUACGGCUUAACCGUAGUAAGCUCUUGAAACUGGGAGACUUGAGUGCAGGAGAGGAGAGUGGAAUUCCUAGUGUA